UACACACGUGACUGUAAGUCACUUUAGAUAAAAGGGUCUGCUAAAUGGCAUAUA
rfam:Salmo salar isolate Sally breed double haploid chromosome ssa14, whole genome shotgun sequence.